AAAGCGAAAGAAGAAAAAUAAAGCAAUGAGGGGGUUUUACUUUUUGCAUGUUUGAUCCACACAGGCGAGGAGGACAUACCAAGCGUGAUGUUAGCAUGUGAUCCCCGCCGGCUGUUCAGUCCCCGACCUCUGACCUCCAAACCCCAGGAGUCAGAGGCAAAAUCAUGCCUGACUUGGCGGGGCCUUUGUGAAUGGUGGAGGGAUCGCGUUAGAAGCAUUACAGCAAUGUAGUGGAAGAACAGGCUACAGUUCCUGAUUGCCACAGCACAUGUCACCAAAGUUAUUAUUACAAUAAAGAUAUGGAUAUUUUCAAGACAUACUCUUCUGAACCUUCUAGAAGAGACUCAUUGCAGUUCCUCAAAUGUCCAUCGGAUGUCCCUCUUGCUUUACUUCCGCGUAUAAAUCCAAGAGCCUGAGGAGCAAAGGGUUUAACAUGCAGUUCUCACGUCAAAUAAAGAAUUCAUCAUCAUUUAUUAGCAACAGAAUCUAAUUCUUAAUCCUUCCAACAAGAAUCAUUCAAUGUUUUGUGUACAUAUAUGGAUAUUUUCACUAAAACAUUCAAACAUUCAGGUUGCAUUUUCCUUUUCUCUAGUCAGCGUGUCACCCACCAUCCCCCCCCCCCCCCCCCUUCCCAACCUCACAUCCAUCUGGCUCUCCUCCCUCUCCUCAUCCCUCGAUCCUUUAUAACUCUUGAGCUCCAGACCUCCCCAGGGACCAUCCGAUGCACAUGGACUCGAGGCCGGCCAGAUGUGGACUAUUCUAGUCUAGCUUUGGUCUUUGGAGAUUUAGAAUCUAGAUCCAUCGUCGGGUAAAAGCGGACCUGGAGUCUCCAGCUGAAGGAAUCCUGGAGUAUGAGAGUGAACGGAGCUCUGCGGCUUUGCUUUUUGUUGUUGGGACUAUGUCAGGCCUGCCGUGCCCGUCCACCUGGUGGUCCCUACACAACACGAGAGGUAGGUGAGGUCCCCGUGUCCCAGCUGAGGAUGCUCUCGCUGGGACUGGCUCACCUGCUGCAGGGGUUGGUGGAGAACGUGGAGCAGCUGGAGCUGCGGGGGAAGCUGGUGGCAGCAGGGCUGGACGAGGCUGCCGAGAGUCUCGAGAGCCUUCGCAAGCAGAGUUUACAGGCGGGACGGACUCACAGGCAGGCGAGGAAGGAUUUGCAGAUACUGACUGCGAGGGGGGACGGGCUGUGGAGGGCAGCCACAGAUCUACAGGAGGAGCUGGUGGAUGGGCAGAGGGAGCGGAAAGCCAUGCAGCGCCGCACAAACAGGAUCAUCCAGAAAGUUAAGAGCCGGACCGAGCCGAGGUCCGUGAAGGACAUCAUGGACCAACAGGCCCGGAGGCUCGCCACUCUUACCUCAGAGGUCUCAGCCCGAGACAGAAUGAUUGACAGGCGCCUGCGGCACAUCAACCAACUGGAGAAACGAAGCCUCCUUGCAGCACGGGGGGCGGAUUCAGUGCCUGAUGAGCACAGCUGUCUCAACACAGCCGCUCCGCCCGCAGGCCGCCGUGACAAAGGCUCUGUGAGGCUGACAAAACAACCUGCUCUGCAACAAACACAAAGACGUCCCACAAUCAACAGACGUGCCUGUCAAUGA
ensembl:lncRNA